CCUUAUCAUUCACCAGUCCGGUUAGAUUUUUUGAAAAAGUUCUUUUUCUUGGUCAUGCAAGAAUUACGAACUCUACUGGACGGAGAACUGAUAAGGGC
rnacentral:pre_miRNA from 1 species